rnacentral:rRNA from 1 species
CGCAUCUGUGCAUGCAGCAUAUCAAUAAGCGGAGGAAAAGAAACUAACAAGGAUUCCCUUAGUAACGGCGAGUGAAGCGGGAAGAGCUCAAAUUUGAAAUCUUCAAGGUUUUACCUUGACGAAUUGUAGUUUAAAGAAGUGUUUUCUGUUGAAGUUUUGGUAAAAGUUCUUUGGAAUAGGACAUCAUAGAGGGUGAGAAUCCCGUAUUUGACCAUUAUUUUCAGCUGUGUGAUACACUUUCAAAGAGUCGGAUUGUUUGGGAAUGCAGUCCAAAAUGGGUGGUAAAUUUCAUCUAAAGCUAAAUAUUGGCGAGAGACCGAUAGCGAACAAGUACCGUGAGGGAAAGAUGAAAAGAACUUUGGAAAGAGAGUUAAACAGUACGUGAAAUUGUCAAAAGGGAAGCGUUUGACACCAGUGUUGUUUUCUCGAAAAUCAAUUAAAAAGAGUUUGAUUUUGUUGUGUAUUGACCUUAACAGCUUGCAUUUCAAUUUUCUUGCUUUUUUUAAUGCACUUUUCGUUUAACAAGUCAACAUCAGUUUCUUUUGUUGUAAAAAGGUCAUUGGAAGGUGGCUUUCUUUUCGGAGAAAGUGUUUAUAGCCUUUGACUCCUGCAAUCGGAGAGACUGAGGUCUGCAGCGUAGAUCCUUCGGGGUUAGAUACAUUUGUGCUAAGUUAUAGCUUUUUAUAGACAACUUGUUGACUAUGAUUAGUCUUGUAGCUUACUCGCUUAUGCUAUAUUACCUACGCUUAGGAUGUUGAACUCUAUCACACACAG